GACGAACGUUGGCGGCGUGCUUAAUACAUGCAAGUCAACUGAAGCACCGGUAGCAAUACUGGUGUGGAGGUGGCGCACGGGUGAGUAACACGUAGGUAAUCUGCCUUCAGGUCUGACACAACCCGGGAAACCGGGCUAAUAUCAGAUGAUGCAGCGGCUUGACAUCAAGACAGUUGUUAAAGCUUCGGCGCCUGGAGAUGAGCCUGCGUCUGAUUAGCUAGUUGGCGGGUAACGGCCACCAAGGCAACGAUCAGUAGCUGGUCUGAGAGGAUGAUCAGCCACACUGGAACUGAGACACGGUCCAGACUCCUACGGGAGGCAG
rnacentral:rRNA from 1 species